ensembl:lncRNA
UUAAAAUGUAAACAUACUUAUUUCUUUAAAAUCAACUGGCUUUGGAGUAAAUUGGAAAAACCAGAAAGUUUUAUUCAACUAUUUGGCCAUGAAAAUAUCUCACAAAAUAAAAUUUAUUCCUGGUUAAUACUAUUUUCAGUUUUUAAAUUAAACAUGACCCAUAUUCAUGUUUAAAUAAUUUAAAUAAUAUUGAGAAACUUCAUACUUAACUUAUAAAACAAUGUGUUUUUGUAAAUAUUUUAUUCUAAUCAUUGGUGGAGUUUUUCUACUUUACAGUUAGGUAUUUGAUGAAUGAAGAGAAAAUAUGUCUAUAAAUGUUACAUGUAGGGUUUAUUCGUCUAUUACCUGUUGUCACUAUUUCGACAAUAUGGAGUCACUAUACUAAGCUAGAGUAUAUGGCUCUAAUGCCUAAGAACCUAAUUCUAAAUAUCUACUUUCUUAAAGCAAUGUUUUAUGUAAAUGGCAGAAUGUUAUAUUUACCUACUCAGAUGAAGACAAGUCCCAUCUUAAACAAAUAGAAUAACUAUAGAACGCUGAGAGCAAUGAUCAGUUGUUUGUGAGAAGCUUGGAAUUCAUCAUGCCUAAAUGACUUAAGUACUCUUUGAAAAAGCAAACUAUUCUCAUGCUUAGAUUAUGUCAGUUGCCCAUAAUUACAGUGCAGCAUAAGAAAGGCAGUGUAGCACAGCACUGAAGAGCACACACUCUAGAGCCAGACUAUCACAGUCUGAUUCCAGGCAACCCUUGCUAACUAUGUGACCUUGUAACUGAAUUUAUCUCCUAGCCUUAGUUAUCAUAUUUGUAAAAUGGGAAUAAAAAUACCUCUGUCAUAGGAUUGUUAUGAAGAUCAAAUCGGGCUAAAUACAGAGUAGUACCUGGCAUAACAAGCACUAUCUUGGUGUUUUGUCUAACCUAAGUGCCUUUCUCUUUAAUAGCUUAAUGAUUAAGAGUACCAACAAUAUUUACAUUUUUAUUUUACAUAAAUUGUUUAGGAAAAUGAAUUUUAAUACUUAGGUCAUGAGAAAUUCAAUAGCAUCAGAAUUACUCAUCAAAAUAAAUUUAUUCCAGUAAAAGAGAUUGAGGAUGGACUGUUAAAAGUGAAAAAAAAAUGGAUAUGAUUCAAUAAAACCAUUAACCUUAGUAGCCACAAUUUUUUCACUUCCUACAUUUGAAAUAGUUUCUACAUGAGGCAAAUUGGACUAUACUUCACUUUUAGAAAUCUAGUCCCCCACACACCCAUUAAAGUUUUAAAAAGAAGUCCACUAGGUGAUCAAGAAAUAUAAUCAGUGCUAUCUUAAAUGCCAUUAGUCAAGAGGCAGUCAUACACAGGUGUGUGAAAUCCUUUUCCUUGUUACCUCAGGUGGACAUGUGGAGACAUCACUGUGGUAUACGUAUUUUACGUUCAAUGAAGUAUGGGAUGUGUAUUUGUUUCUUUAUUAAUGUAAUUCCAUUGCUUCUACUUUUCUGUGUUAAUAUCAAUUCUUAUUUAUGAUAGGUUAGUAAUAACGCUUAGCCUGAUCAGAUUUCCAAGUUUUUGUGCAAGCAUUUGUUGUGUUAAUUUAGAAAGGAUAAUUACUGUUAAUAAUUUCUAAAAAUAAAAUGCAGUAAUAACCUAGUUGAUAAGUAGGUUAAAGUACACAGGUAGAAAUGGAGGUAACAAGUAAACCAGAAUAUACAUACAUACUUGCAAUCACCUAAUAGAGAUAGCCUAUGCACUAAUUUUAGAUUCUUAUUAGCAGCACCCAAAUAAAUAUCUUAGUAAAACAAACAGCAGUACUUGCCCAGGGUUUUGAAAGUGUGUCACAACUCUGAAAAGUAAAUCAUUGUGAUUUAAAUUCCCUGAAUGUCAGGCUCCACCUAACCUACAGAAAUGAAUUCAACAAAGGGGUUUCCAUUUACAUGAAAAAAUGCCUAUAAAAUCACUUCAUGGAUUAGAAAACCUUGUACAAAUGUUUUUCCCUAAGUAAUUGGUAAAUACAUGAUUUUUAAUAGCAAAAACAUUCUAAACUGGGCCGGGGAUUUAGCUCAGUGGUUUCGCCGCCUGCUAUGCAACCACAAGGACCCGAGUUCGAUCCCCAGUACCGGAAAAACAACAACAACAAGAACAACAACAAAAAUUCUAAACCUACUAAUAUAGCUAUUUAUUGAAAAUUCUGAAAAAUAUAUACUUAAUAAAUAUAGAAUGUUGAUAAUGGCAAAAGUAGGCUGGCAUAUGAGAGACAGCAGUUCAUGUGGAAACUCCCCCCAAGGAUAGCAUACCAAGUCCCCUGCGGACCUCCCAACCCAACACCUUCCUACAUAGCUCAAGAAAUUGCUGUUACAUGUAGACCUGUGUUCUGCAAUGGGAGAUCAGUGAAGAGCUUGUUUUUGGAAAGGUGAUAUUUCUUGGGAAAGCUAGCUGUUUGCACACCCUUAUGACAUUCUAUAUUUUUCACCUUCCAAAUAGAGAAGUAUGUUUGUGUCAAGUAAGAGGGCUUUAGUAAGUUUUAUGAAAAGGAAAAGAUUUUAUAUGUAGUGUUUAUGUAUAAGAAAUCUUCUCUAUUGAUAUGUCAGUUAAUAGAGUGCCUUUUGAAUGAUUCUUUCUUGUUUUGUUUUUUUUCAGGGCUGGGGAUCAAAAUCAGAGCCUUGCAUAUUCUAGGCAAGUGCUCUGCCACUGAGCCACAUCCCCAGCCCCAGUUGUAUAUUGUUAGUGAGGACACUGGCCUAAGUAGAGGUGACCCAGGGACAGGAAAAGAUUAUUAUUGUUCCUAAAUUAUCUGAAGUAGUUGUCUCAUCUGGCUGAAUUCAUCAGAUUCUCGUCUGAUGGUUGAUUUUAGUUUUGUUAUGUAGCUACAAAAUAUGUUUCAAGAAUAAAAAUACUGAACUUACAUUCAUAGUUAACAUCAUUUUUGUAUGUUUAAAAACUUUGUGCAUAGAAUUAAAUACAUGUAUCAUGUAGAGCUAUUUCUUUAACAUGCUGUUAUCCUAAGUUAUAUAUACUGAAGUAGGGGGUUUUUUUGGACAUUAUUCAGGGAGAGUAAAUGUCUGCUCUUAACCCUGCAUUCGUGCCGGCAUUCAUACAAGCUCAAGAACACAAGUAAUCUGGAGAAUGAUGUAGCCAACUCUCCUUUACAAAAAAGAACAAAAAUUACCAUGCAGGCUAAAAUACAGGGAAAAGAGUUUGGGAGCUUCAGUUUUUAAAGAUGAAUUGUAAGCUGUGAGCUGACCCUUCUAUUGAGCUGGUGGGAAUUAAUUAACCUCUCUGAAUUUAUAUGUAUUAUAUAUAAGUUAUACAUAAUUAUAUAUUUUUUUAAAAUUUUACUUCAUUUUAGACUCGCUAUGUCUUAUCCUUACACUGAAAUCUGGACAGUAGUGGUUCAAUGUAACUUAAUAGAUUUUUAUUUACUUUUCUUCUAUAAAUUCUUGGUGUUUGUAUUUGUUUAACACAUAUUUGGUUACUGGAAAAUGCUAGUGACAUGUAGUUUCUUUCUAUUUCCUACAUAUCACUCAACAAUCUGAAGUGAUUUAAUGUAUUUACAAAAAUUCCCUCAAAUAAUUUUACUCUAGUUUUAUCCAUUCCAUUAUAAAAUUGGAUAGCAAUAGUAUAUAACACUAGCAAAUCUUAAACUAUGUUAGUCCCCAACGCUUUCACACCUAAGGCAUCUUUAUCUGAGUUUUUGUGUUUUCUUUCCUCUGCUUUCAGUAAAUUUUAAUUCUUCCAAAAGCAAUUUUAUAUGAUCUGCAAAAAUAAUUUAUCUUUUGUCUUUCUUUCAAUUUUAUCUCUACCUACUCCCAUUAGUAAAACAUUGGUUCUGAAAAACAAAUCAUGCUUUUUGUUACUUUCCUAAAACUGAAUUUGACAUUACAAUUCAAAAUGUUAAUUUGCAGUUUAGUUCUUCCCAGUUAUAUUCAGAAAAGCCCAUUUUUAAGUGCUUAAAAUAAUAAACAAAUGGCUUUACACUAUCCCAAGAAUAAAUGAUUCAAGCAGAAAUCUGGAAGAUUAUCUUAUUUACUAAAUUAAAAUUAAUUGUGAAAUAAAUUCAACUGAAUAUUUUAAUAAUGUGCAUGCUAAAUGUAAAGAAAUUACUAAAAAUCAUGUUUGAAAUGUAUAUUUCAAAUUGAUAAGGUUCUAUAUUUGUGUGAAAAUGUAAAGAAUGAGUUACUUCAAAAUCAUGUUCAAAAUAUGUAUUUCAAAUUGAUAUGGCUCUGUAUUUGGAAAUCUAAAAAAUUACUUGAAAAUCAUGUUCAAAAUAUGUAUUCCAAAUUGAUAAGAUUCUCUGUAUUUGCUUGAAAAUCAUUAUGUUCUAAUCUCUUUGAAUCAGUAUGUUUUUCUAUAUGGAACUUAUGGGUGGCAUGAGAAGAACCUGUACUGCUAGAGAAUAUGUAAAUUUUAAAAUAUUGUAAUAAAUAAUCUAAUUCCA